AUACGAAGGGUGCAAGCGUUACUCGGAAUUACUGGGCGUAAAGCGUGCGUAGGUGGUUGUUUAAGUCUGUCGUGAAAGCCCUGGGCUCAACCUGGGAAUGGCGAUGGAAACUGGGCGACUAGAGUGUGGCAGAGGGUAGUGGAAUUCCUGGUGUAGCAGUGAAAUGCGUAGAGACCAGGAGGAACAUCCGUGGCGAAGGCGACUGCCUGGGCCAACACUGACACUGAGGCACGAAAGCGUGGGGAGCAAACAGGAUUAGAUACCCUGGUAGUCCACGCCCUAAACGAUGCGAACUGGAUGUUGGGUGCAAUUUGGCACGCAGUAUCGAAGCUAACGCGUUAAGUUCGCCGCCUGGGGAGUACGGUCGCAAGACUGAAACUCAAAGGAAUUGGCGGGG
rnacentral:rRNA from 1 species